GAUGAACGCUGGCGGUAGGCCUAACACAUGCAAGUCGAACGGCAGCACAGUAAGAGCUUGCUCUUAUGGGUGGCGANUGGCGGACGGGUGAGGAAUACAUCGGAAUCUACUUUUUCGUGGGGGAUAACGUAGGGAAACUUACGCUAAUACCGCAUACGACCUACGGGUGAAAGCAGGGGACCUUCGGGCCUUGCGCGAUUGAAUGAGCCGAUGUCGGAUUAGCUAGUUGGCGGGGUAAAGGCCCACCAAGGCGACGAUCCGUAGCUGGUCUGAGAGGAUGAUCAGCCACACUGGAACUGAGACACGGUCCAGACUCCUACGGGAGGCAGCAGUGGGGAAUAUUGGACAAUGGGCGCAAGCCUGAUCCAGCCAUACCGCGUGGGUGAAGAAGGCCUUCGGGUUGUAAAGCCCUUUUGUUGGGAAAGAAAUCCAGCCGGCUAAUACCUGUUGGAUGACGGUA
rnacentral:rRNA from 1 species